rnacentral:rRNA from 1 species
GUUCCCUACGGGGCGCAGCAGUGGGGGAUAUUGCACAAUGGGGGGAACCCUGAUGCAGCGACGCCGCGUGGGUGAAGAAGCGCCUCGGCGCGGAAAGCCCUGUCAGCAGGGAAGAAAAUGAUGGUACCUGAAGAAGAAGCCCCGGCUAACUACGUGCCAGCAGCCGCGGUAAUACGUAGGGGGCAAGCGUUAUCCGGAUUUACUGGGUGUAAAGGGGGCGCAGACGGCGAUGCAAGCCAGGAGUGAAAGCACGGGGCCCAACCCCGGGACUGCUCUUGAAACUGUUGGUCUUGAGUAUCGGAGAG